UGGGGAAUUUUGCGCAAUGGGCGAAAGCCUGACGCAGCAACGCCGCGUGGGUGAUGAAGGUCUUCGGAUCGUAAAACCCUGUCGUCAGGGACGAAGGUCGGUCGUUGAAUAGGCGAUUGGCUUGACGGUACCUGGAGAGGAAGCCCCGGCUAACUCUGUGCCAGCAGCCGCGGUAAUACGUAGGGAGCAAGCGUUAUCCGGAUUUAUUGGGCGUAAAGAGUGCGCAGCCGGUUUAUUAAGUCUAAAAUUAAAGCCUGGAGCUUAACUCCAGUUCGUUUUAGAAACUGAUAGACUCGAGUGUGGUAGAGGCAAAUGGAAUUUCUAGUGUAGCGGUAAAAUGCGUAGAUAUUAGAAGGAACACCAGUGGCGAAAGCGGCCUCCUGGACCAUUCCUGACACUCAGACGCGAAAGCUAGGGUAGCAAACG
rnacentral:rRNA from 1 species